UACGGGGGGAGCAAGCGUUGUUCGGAUUUACUGGGCGUAAAGGGCGCGUAGGCGGUCAGCACAAGUCAGUUGUGAAAUCUCCGGGCUUAACUCGGAAAGGUCAACUGAUACUGUGCGACUAGAGUGCAGAAGGGGCAACUUGGAAUUCUCGGUGUAGCGGUGAAAUGCGUAGAUAUCGAGAGGAACACCUGCGGCGAAGGCGGGUUGCUGGGCUGACACUGACGCUGAUGCGCGAAAGCCAGGGGAGCGAACGGG
rnacentral:rRNA from 1 species